rnacentral:rRNA from 1 species
ACCUGGUUGAUCCUGCCAGUUAUGAUAUGCUUAUCUCAAAGACUAAGCCAUGCAUGCCUAAGUUCAUACCUUUACACGGUGAAACUGCGAAUGGCUCAGUAAAUCAGUUAUAGUUUAUUUGAUUGUACCGGGUGCUCUGCACAUACAUUGGAUAACUGUGGGAAACUAGAGCUAAUACAUGUCAACUGCUUUCACGGGGAAGCGUGCAUUUAUUCGCCUAGGAAACCAGCACGUUUGCGAUUUAAGACGGGUCGGGAGCAAUCCCAGCUCGUUGCACGGUCGCGGCGUUCACGAUGAUUCUGAAUAACUGAUUGCUGAUCGUAUGAGGCCUCGUGCCUACGACAUUUCAAUUAAAUUUCUGCCCUAUCAUACUUGUUGGUAGUGUAGCGGCCUACCAAGGUGGUGACGGGUAACGGGGAAUCAGGGUUCGAUUCCGGAGAGGGAGCAUUAAAAACGGCUACCACAUCCAAGGAUGGCAGCAGGCGCGCAAACUAUCCAAUCCAGACAAUGGGAGAUGGUGACGAGACAUAUUGGAACUCACUGGCGUUGCCGGUAGAGUUACCAGAAUGACCGUAAUUUAAGUCCUUCGUGGAUGACUACGGGAGGGCAAGUCUGGUGCCAGCAGCCGCGGUAAUACCAGCUCCUGUAGCAUAUAUAAUUGUUGCGGUUAAAAAGCUCGUAGUUGGAUUACAGUGCGUUCAAGUGAUGGUUCGGCGGUAUAGCUACCAGAGGUAGUUGUGUGGUGCUGUAUCACUCGGUCGGUCUACACCUCACGGCCCACCAUACGGCCCUGCGAUGCUCCGUCUCAUGGUGUGCGCAAAGUGGAUGCCAUCUGGUCGCAGUCUCUGUGCCAGAUGCAUUCAUGCACACCACUGUUGGCGGAGCCUCUCGAGGGGAACGUGUGUGGAUACCGUAGGUGUGCUAAAAGGUCGGUCGAGUGUGUAAAAAGCAGUGCCAUACGCAUAUCUGGCUGAAACGUCACAAGAGCGUGCUUUCACGUUGGACCCCCGUGAUUGUGCCCUUAAGUGGGUACACGGGACGUCUGGCGAAUUGUGCCUUGAGUAAAAUAGAGUGCUCCAAGCAGGCGUGACUAAUAAUCAUUGCCCGUAUACUCCAGCAUGGAACGAAUGUUCAAUUGCUUGAACCACCCCAUCGGCCUAGUUAGCUGGUUAAUUGCAAACGGCGUGUCUGCAAGGUGUGGAUGCGUGCUGCAAAGUGCGUCCACCACACUUCUGUGGGCACUGCUGGCUAGUGCCAUGUUCACGGACUGGUGUACCUGCUGCUACGACCGUGCACAGUUCAUCGUCAUAGAGCUGACGCGCGGGUAACGGCCGUGGGUUCCGAGGGUGUCCACCACACUUGGUGUGGCGCGUCACCCUGACCCCGGCUUCCCCGCAUCACCUUUGGUGUUUGUCUGUGUGCGGACCCGUCGGUGGGAAUCAUGCACCUUCCGUGUAUGGGUAUCGGUUAACAGAGACAUUUGGGGGCAUUAGUAUUUGGCCGCGAGAGGUGAAAUUUUUAGACCGGUCAAAGACUAACAAUUGCGGAAGCAUUUGCCAAAGAUGUUUUCAUUAAUCAAGAACGAAAGUUGGAGGAUCGAAGACGAUUAGAUACCGUCGUAGUUCCAACUGUAAACUAUGCCAACCAGGGCUCAGGCCGGAUCAUAAUGUUGUGGAUCCAGGUUGGGCCCCCCGGGAAACCUAAAGUUUUUGGGUUCCGGGGGGAGUAUGGUCGCAAGGCUGAAACUUAAAGGAAUUGACGGAAGGGCACCACCAGGAGUGGAGCCUGCGGCCUAAUUUGACUCAACACGGGGAAUCUCACCAGGUCCGGACAUCGGAAGGAUUGACAGACUGACAGAUCUUUCAUGAUUCGGUGGAUGGUGGUGCAUGGCCGUUCUUAGUUGGUGGAGUGAUUUGUCAGGUUAAUUCCGGUAACGAACGAGACCGAUUCCUUUAUUUUGGCCGCAUUAAGUUUUCAACUGUGUGCCUGGGCAACAAAUGGUUCAGUGUGCUGGCCCCUGACGGCGCUCUCUGUGUGGCGUGUGUCUUUGCUCUCACUACCCGGUCGUUCAGCUAGCGGGGACCCAAUAAUGGUGGCCGUGAUGGCACAUCAGAAUGGCCUCGUACUGCGGCCGGGACCGAUGGUGGGGGUGUAUGGAUGCGCGUUUGCAUGGGGAAUCCGUCGUUGGGGGAUGGUGCGCUGGGCUAGCCCAGGUCAUGGUGUAUGUUCAUGCGCCUUCAUAAAGGGACUACCGGUGGCAAACCGGGGGAAGUAUGGCAAUAGCAGGUCAGUGAUGCCCCUCGAUGUCCUGGGCUGCACGCGCGCUACAAUGGUAACGACAGUGAGUUUCUGCGCCGAAAGGUGUGGGUAAUCUUGUCAAUCGUUGCCGUGCUGGGGAUUGAGCCUUGAAAUUAUUGCUCAUGAACCUGGAAUUCCUUGUAAGUACGAGUCACCAGCUCGUGCUGAAUACGUCUCUGCCCUUUGUACACACCGCCCGUCGCUACUACCGAUUGAAUGAUAUGGUGAGGACAUGGGAUUGAACGUCCCCUAUGUGGGACGGCUGAGAGCAUGUCCAAACUAUAUCAGUCAGAG